AGGACGAACGCUGGCGGCGUGCUUAACACAUGCAAGUCGAGCGGAAAGGCCCUUCGGGGUACUCGAGCGGCGAACGGGUGAGUAACACGUGAGUAACCUGCCCCUAGCUCUGGGAUAGCUCCGGGAAACCGGGAUUAAUACCAGAUACGACCACUUUAGACAUCUGUCGUGGUGGAAAGGAUUCCGGCUAGGGAUGGGCUCGCGGCCUAUCAGCUUGUUGGUGGGGUAACGGCCUACCAAGGCGACGACGGGUAGCCGGCCUGAGAGGGCGACCGGCCACGCUGGGACUGAGACACGGCCCAGACUCCUACGGGAGGCAGCAGUGGGAAUAUUGCGCAAUGGGCGAAAGCCUGACGCAGCGACGCCGCGUGGGGGAUGAAGGCCUUCGGGUUGUAAACCCCUUUCAGCAGGGACGAAGCGAAAGUGACGGUACCUGCAGAAGAAGCGCCGGCUAACUACGCGCCAGCAGCCGC
rnacentral:rRNA from 1 species